rnacentral:rRNA from 1 species
UACAGAGGGUGCAAGCGUUGUUCGGAAUUACUGGGCGUAAAGCGUGCGCAGGCGGUUUGUUAAGUCUGCUGUGAAAUCCCCGAGCUCAACUUGGGAAUUGCAGUGGAUACUGGCAAGCUGGAGUACGGUAGAGGAAGGUGGAAUUCCCGGUGUAGCAGUGAAAUGCGUAGAGAUCGGGAGGAACACCAGUGGCGAAGGCGGCCUUCUGGACCAGUACUGACGCUCAUGCACGAAAGCGUGGGGAGCAAACAGG